GGGUAGGUGUGGAUAUUUAUGAUAUUCUUAGAACAAAGCUUUAAGCCUCCCAAUUCCCAUCUAUUUCUCAAAGUCGGUUCAGUCUUCUUCACUUCAAUGCUCUUCUUCUUCAGGAUAUUGAUUCUGUGCAUAAACAAGUCGAGAAUGGAGAAAGCUAAAGUGGGUAUUCGUUGUUUUUGAAGAAAAAA